GCGAGGUAGCUCAGUGGUAGAGCUUCGGAAUCAUAAUCCGCUGGUCGGGGGUUCGAUCCCCUCCCUCGCC
rnacentral:tRNA from 1 species